rnacentral:rRNA from 1 species
UACGGGGGGAGCAAGCGUUGUUCGGAUUUACUGGGCGUAAAGGGCGCGUAGGCGGCCAGCGCAAGUCAGUUGUGAAAUCUCCGGGCUUAACUCGGAAAGGUCAACUGAUACUGCGCGGCUAGAGUGCAGAAGGGGCAACUGGAAUUCUCGGUGUAGCGGUGAAAUGCGUAGAUAUCGAGAGGAACACCUGCGGCGAAGGCGGGUUGCUGGGCUGACACUGACGCUGAACUGCGAAAGCUAGGGGAGCGAACGGG